rnacentral:rRNA from 1 species
GAUGAACGCUGGCGGCGUGCUUAACACAUGCAAGUCGAACGAUGAAGCCCAGCUUGCUGGGUGGAUUAGUGGCGAACGGGUGAGUAACACGUGAGUAACCUGCCCUUAACUCUGGGAUGAGCCUGGGAAACUGGGUCUAAUACCGGAUAGGAGCGUCCACCGCAUGGUGGGUGUUGGAAAGAUUUAUCGGUUUUGGAUGGACUCACGGCCUAUCAGCUUGUUGGUGAGGUAAUGGCUCACCAAGGCGACGACGGGUAGCCGGCCUGAGAGGGUGACCGGCCACACUGGGACUGAGACACGGCCCAGACUCCUACGGGAGGCAGCAGUGGGGAAUAUUGCACAAUGGGCGCAAGCCUGAUGCAGCGACGCCGCGUGAGGGAUGACGGCCUUCGGGUUGUAAACCUCUUUCAGUAGGGAAGAAGCGAAAGUGACGGUACCUGCAGAAGAAGCACCGGCUAACUACGUG